AUUGAACGCUGGCGGCAGGCCUAACACAUGCAAGUCGAACGCGUGGCGGGCGGGUGAGUAAUGUUUGGGAAACUGUCCGUUGGCGGGGGAUAACUACUGGAAACGGUUUCUAAUCCCGCGCUCAAUCGGAUUUGCCCAGACGGGGUUAGCUAGUGGGUGGGGUAACGGCUCACCUAGGCGACGAUCCCUAGCUGGUCUGAGAGGAUGACCAGCCACACUGGAACUGAGACACGGCCCAGAAUCCUACGGGAGGCAGCAGUGGGGAAUAUUGCACAAUGGGCGCAAGCCUGACGGAGCCAUGCCGCGUGUAUGAAGAAGGCCUUCGGGUUGUAAAGUACUGUCAGCGGGGAGGCGUUACUCACAGAAGAAGCAACGGCUAACUCCGUGCCAGCAGCCGCGGUAAUAC
rnacentral:rRNA from 1 species